GCCCGGCAGGACCCGCGCCUCGCGCCCCCACCUCUGCGGCGUCCAACAGGGCUGCUGCUCUCCUCUGCGGACCUUGGCCCUCGGGUCUUCAGUCCAAGGAGUUUGCGGUGACCUACACGCGUGCGGGACUUCGGUGUCGGCCUCCCCCUCAGUCUCUGGCAGAGAAAAGGGAAAAGCCGCCAAGGACGGAUGGGGCGUACCCCUGGGGGCCUGACUCAGAGCGUCCCCUGCGGCAUUUGAUGAAGGCUGGGCGUUAAACGCCGAAGUCGGGAAAGCAGAGCAGGUCACAGUGUGGUGAGACGGGUCCCCGGGGAG